rnacentral:rRNA from 1 species
UACGAAGGGGGCUAGCGUUGUUCGGAAUUACUGGGCGUAAAGCGCGUGUAGGCGGGUCUUUAAGUCAGGGGUGAAAUGCCAAGGCUCAACCUUGGAACUGCCUUUGAUACUGGAGACCUUGAGUUCGGGAGAGGUGAGUGGAACUGCGAGUGUAGAGGUGAAAUUCGUAGAUAUUCGCAAGAACACCAGUGGCGAAGGCGGCUCACUGGCCCGAUACUGACGCUGAGGCACGAAAGCGUGGGGAGCAAAAGGG